GUGUGUUUCGAGGGAAACAAUUCUCAUUGGAAAAUGGACCUUGACAUCAUUGAUAUUCCACCUCCAACGAAGAAUAAUGUUUCUAAUUCCAUGAAACAGAAUGAGGAGUAAAGUGUGUUUCGAUGGUAGCAAUUCUCACUGGGAAAUGUACCUUGACACCAUUGAGAUUCCACCUCUAGUGAAGCAAAAUUCUUCCAUUUCCAUGAAGCAAAAAGAGGUAUAUUUCAGUAUCUAUCUCCUAUCCUUAUCUCAAUGUUUUUUUAAUUUAAUUUUCUUUUUUUCAUAAUUAUUUUAUUUAUGUGGAGUAUUGACUGGUUUUUAAUUUGAAUUUUUUUUGGUUUUAAUUUGAGGUUUGAGGGGUGAUCUUGUUCUGGUUGAUCAAUUUGGGUUUUGUGUAUGACUACAUUGAUAUUCAAUCUUCUCUAAAUCCCCAACCAAUGUAUCGAAAAGUUCAAAAACUAUAAAAAAUGUAAAACCUCCCUCCUCCCCUUUCACUUUUUACGUUGCUUCUUCUUUCUCCCUUGAAUUCUUUAUUACGAUUUCUCAUUUUCUCUUUGGGAAACACACCAUUUUUGUGAUUCUCUUGGAUUCUUGUUACUCUUCUUCAUUGUGAAUGCACCCAUCGAACCGCAACAACACUUCAAGUGAUUACUUGCUUUCUUUUUCACUCUCUCCAAUUCUCAAACUCUCUUUUAAUUCUCUGCAUUGAAAUAUUGUCUUUUUUUUUUUUGUUUUCACAAAAGUAGAGUGUGUUUUGAUGGAUGUACUUCUUAUCGAGAAAUGAACCAUAGCAUCAUUGAGAUUCCACCUCAAACAAAGAAUAAUACUUCUAAUUCCAUGAAGUAGCAAAAAAAGAGAUAUGUCUCAUUAUCCUUUAUACUCACCUCAAUUUUUUUAAAAUUUAAUUUUCUCUUUUUUCUCACAAUUUUUUUAUUUAUUUAUGCUAAGUAUUGACUGAAUAUAUACUAAGUAUAGACCAAAUUAAUUGUGAGAAAAAGGAAAGUUAAAUUUUAAAAAAUAAUGAGAUGAGUAUAAAAGAUAGUGAGAUAUACCUCUUUUUUUGUUUAAUGGAAUUAGAAGUAUUAUUCCUCAUUAGAGGUGGAAUUUCAAUGAUGGCAAGGUCUAUUUCGUGAUGAGAAUUGCUUCCAUGGAAACACAUUCUACUCAUAUGAAAACAACAUAAAAAAAUGACAGUGUUUCAAAGCAGAGAAUUAAAAGAGAGUUUGAAAAUUGGAGAGAGUGAAAGAGGAAGCCAGUAAUCUUGAAGUGUUGUUGUGGUUCAAUGGGUGAAGUCAUAACGAAGAAGAAGAACAAGAAUGAAAGAGAAUCACAAAAUAGUAUGUUUUCGAGAGGAAAAAUGAGAAUCAUAAUAGAGAAUUGAAGGGAGAAAGAGGAAGCGAUCCAAUACACUCCCGAAGCCUGUUCCCACUGCGCCACCACCAACACCAUCACCCUCACCUACUACCACCGCGGCGGCGUGCGAUGGCGCACCCCCCACCCGCUUUAACUCCGGCACGCUCUCCGCCCUCAUCCGGUGCCCCUCCGGCGACACGAGCGGCCUCAACUUCAACCUCUACCUCUCCUCCCUGGAGGGAAACAAGUCCCAGGACGAGAUCGACUUCGAGUUUCUCGGCCGUGACAGGAACAUCGUACAAACAAACUACUUCUCCGAAGGUGUGGGAAACAUGGAAAAGGUCCACGUUUUAGGGUUCGAUGCUUCCGAUGGGUUUCAUGAGUAUGGGAUUGUGUGGGGGAGCGACGCGAUCGAGUGGCGCGUGGAUGGGAACCUGGUGAGAAGGCUAUGUUUUUGUACGCUUCGAUGUGGGAUGCAAGUUGGGUUAAUGAAGGGAAGUGGUGUGGGAAGUACUGUGGGACUGUUGUUGUUGAAUGAGUCACUGCAUUUUUUAUUUGUAGUUGGAAAUUUUACUUUAUGUGUUGUUUCAGUGUAAAUUUAACUGUGGAUAAAAAUAAAAUGAAUGUCAAAACAAGAGUCUUGAUUUUUUGACAAAAUUAUUUUUGCUUCAAAGAUACUCUUUUUUGUGAGUGACUAUGAAUCUUGUCAUUUAUGGUGUGCUUUUGGGGUUGUAUUCUUUUGUUGUUGUGAGUGUUGAGUUUUUUUAA